rnacentral:misc_RNA from 1 species
GAUGAAGAACGUAGCGAAAUGCGAUACUUGGUGUGAAUUGCAGAAUCCCGUGAACCAUCGAGUCUUUGAACGCAAGUUGCGCCCGAAGCCAUUAGGCCGAGGGCACGCCUGCCUGGGCGUCACACGUCGUUGCCCCCCCAUCUACUCCUUCGGGAUUGCGGGGGGCGGAUGAUGGCCUCCCGUGCGCCUCGCCGCGCGGUGGGCAUAAAUGCCAAGUCCUCGGCGACGCACGCCACGACAAUCGGUGGUUGCGAAACCUCGGUUGCCCGUCGUGUGCGGUCGUCGCGCAUCGAGGGCUCGAAAAAAUUGCCGGGUUCCGGCUCGGCUUUCAAUGCGACCCCAGGUCAGGCGGGGUUACCCGCUGAAUUUAAGCAUAUCAAUAAGCGGAGGA